rnacentral:rRNA from 1 species
UACGGAGGGGGCUAGCGUUAUUCGGAAUUAUUGGGCGUAAAGGGCGUGUAGGCGGCUUCGUGUGUCCCAUGUGAAAGCCCUCGGCUCAACCGGGGAACUGCAUGGGAAACUGCGGAGCUUGAGUCCGGGAGAGGAGAGUGGAAUUCCCAGUGUAGCGGUGAAAUUCGUAGAUAUUCGCAAGAACACCAGUGGCGAAGGCGGCUCACUGGCCCGGUACUGACGCUGAGGUGCGAAAGCGUGGGGAGCAAACAGG